UCCUGGAGCUCCUCGCCGCUUGCUGACUCGCGUGCGGCUCCCCGGAAGAGGCCAGGGGUGGGGCUCUGUCGCGCGCUUGGACCUCACGUUCGGCUAUCAGCUGCCAUAGGUCAGGUGGCACAAUGAACGUGCUGGAAUACGAGAAAAUUAACCCUACAAGUUAACCAGGCAGCUGCAUAUGUUGGCAUGAUUGAUGAGAUCUGCUACAGUCAAGCAAGCAGCCCUGGGUGACCAGUUUACCCUUCCCCGCUAGGGUUCCAGCUGCCAGUUGCCCCCAUUCUGUGACAGCUUCUCCUUCUUCUCACCUUGUCAUCGAGCCAAGAUUGUACACUGUAGGAGAACAGUGACCUAGAUGACUAUGUUUGUUCACCUUUGCCUUCAUCUCUGACCUCAACUCAGGCCACAAGAGGAGAAGAAAUACAGG